rnacentral:rRNA from 1 species
AACGAACGCUGGCGGCAUGCCUAACACAUGCAAGUCGAACGAGACCUUCGGGUCUAGUGGCGCACGGGUGCGUAACGCGUGGGAACCUGCCCUUAGGUUCGGAAUAACUCCCCGAAAGGGGUGCUAAUACCGGAUAAUGUCUUCGGACCAAAGAUUUAUCGCCUUUGGAUGGGCCCGCGUUGGAUUGGCUAGUUGGUAGGGUAAAAGCCUACCAAGGCGACGAUCCAUAGCUGGUCUGAGAGGAUGAUCAGCCACACUGGGACUGAGACACGGCCCAGACUCCUACGGGAGGCAGCAGUGGGGAAUAUUGGACAAUGGAGGAAAGCCUGAUCCAGCAAUGCCGCGUGAGUGAUGAAGGCCUUAGGGUUGUAAAGCUCUUUUACCCGGGAUGAUAAUGACAGUACCGGGGGAAUAAGCUCCGGCUAACUCCGUG